rnacentral:rRNA from 1 species
AGAGUUUGAUCCUGGCUCAGAUUGAACGCUGGCGGCAUGGCUAAAACAUGCAAGUCGAACGCCUGGAGCAAUCCAGGAGUGGCGAAAGGGCGAGGAAUAGAUUCCUACAUACCCCAUAGUCAGGGAUACCCCGGAGAAAUCCGGAUCAAUACCUGAUGAGGUCGAGAGAUCAAAGAUUUAUCGCUAUGGGAGUGGGGAAUCUCCUAUCAGGUAGUUGGUGAGGUAACGGCUCACCAAGCCUAAGACGGGUAGCGGGUGUGAGAGCACGGCCCGCCGCAUCGAGACUGAGACACUGCUCGGACUCCUACGGGAGGCUGCAGUAACGAAUCUUCCGCAAUGCGCGAAAGCGUGACGGGGUAAUGCCGCGUGCAGGAUGAAGCCCUUCGGGGUGUAAACUGCUGUCAGGGUGCAGGAAAGAAAUGACCAUACCCAAAGGAAGCACCGGCUAACUCUGUGCCAGCAGCCGCGGUAAUACAGAGGGUGCGAGCGUUAAUCGGAAUCACUGGGCUUAAAGGGUGCGUAGGCGGAUGCGUAGGCGCUUUGUGAAAUCCCUCGGCUCAACCGAGGAAUUGCUUGGCGAACCACGCGUCUUGAGGUUGGUAGAGGUCGCUGGAACGAUAGGUGGAGCGGUGAAAUGCGUAGAUAUCUAUCGGAACGCCAAAGGUGAAGACAGGCGACUGGGCCAAAUCUGACGCUGAGGCACGAGAGCGUGGGGAGCAAACGGGAUUAGAUACCCUGGUAGUCC